UUCCCCGACCACUCACACACUGGUACGUUCAUUCUCACCUUCAUUUUAAUCACCUACAUCCAAUUCACUGAACGAUCACAGCCACAGUAUAAAAGGACGUUCCUUUCACUCGCUCUUUUGUGCUCUGGGUGAUGGUUUUCAGAAGCAGGAUUCAAGAAUGACAGAAAGAUGGAGGAAGCAAAGUACAGAGCUGGAAUUUCCUCAGGGAUAUUAUGGAACAGAUUUUGUGGAUUGAGAAGGGAAACAUGAGUUUAAUCCAUUUUAAAGAAACAUUUUCUAUAAUAAAUUGUAGCAAAAUAUUUUUUUAAGUGAAUGGGCCCGUGACCCUGAAAAGGAGUAAGUGGUAGAAGACGGAUGGAUGGCUGGAUGGUCUGAAUGCUUUUUUCUACAGUCUGUCAUUUUGAAUCAGCAGGGAAUGGAAGGAAUGAACCUGAGAACAACUUGCAUCUCUGCCCCGCCCUGCUCAUGAAUGUGUGAAGGACUGGUCAUGUGUUUUUAGAUGAGUCCAGCUGAGCAGGUUCUUCUGGGUGAUCUGGGUGUGGCUGUCAUCACCUACACUCUCGCGUGCACACACACAGCCUAAUGAUGACCUCCUUCGCUUGCAUCGUCACCUCUUUGGACCGCACAUUGAGAGUUCCCAAGAACGGCUAACAAAUGCAAAUUCAACGGUUGGGAUCAACCCUGGACCUUUUAUCCCCUCAAUUUGUCAUGAAAUAACGAGGAAACAGGCCAAACUUGGCCAUGAAACUGCUUAUCAAUCAAGUGUCCGAUUACUUUUGAGCUUGUGAAAAUCGCUGUAAAUAUGGCUGUAAUUCCUAAACAGUUAAUGCAAUAUUUUUGUUAAACCCCUUGAAUUAAAGUCUACACUUCAAUCACAUCGUGACUGUUUCAUUUCAAAUCCAUUUCAUAUCCAGUGAAUAUACAAUUGUGAAGUGUUAUACACGUGUUUGUCAGAAGAAGCUAUGUAGCUGCUCAUUUGAGUCCUGAAAUGCAGCAGCUCUGGUUUUAAGAAGCGAACGCUCUGAUCCCCCUCACUCUUCAGGAGUUCCUAAUCAGCUCGUCCAACCCUAGGAGAAACAGGUGGACUUUGGCAGAGAGACAAACUGAUGAUUGAUAAAUUGACACAGUUAAUGUUUAACAGUGUGGCUGGACUGUGAUCGAGUGAAGCAACAGCCAUCAACAGCCAGCUGAUAAAAGCAGCACCAUGAGCAUCUGUGUCUUAUAUAGUGAAGUGUAAUGGCCUUCUCUUGCUGUCCCGCAUGGAUACCCUGAAGCAGGGGUUCUCAAAUAUUUUGUAGCCAGGGACCCCUUUAACUG